GUCACCGAGUUCAGGUUUAGUAAGGACUGGAGGUGUUGAUAAUGUCUGUUUAAGCUCUUGAAAGGCUAAGUUGCAUUCCUCGUUCCAGUCGAACCCUUUAUUUCCCCUAAGUAGUUUGAAAAAGGGGGAGCACCUGUCAGUUGCCCGGGAAACAAACCUGUUUAGUGCUGCUAUGCGACCUGUCAACUUCUGAAUGUCCCUUUUGCAUUUAGGGGCCUCCAUACUUAUCAGAGCUUGAAUUUUAUCGGGAUUUGCCUCUAUUCCUCUGUGCGUGAUCAUAAAACCCAGGGAUUUUCCAGAUGCCUCCCCAAAUGCACAUUUUGCCGGGUUGAGCUUUAUGCUGUACCUCCUUAACGUAGCAAACACUUCCUCUAGAUCAGAAACAUGGCUACUCGAUUGUUUGCUCUUGACCACCAUAUCAUCCACAUACGCUUCGACUGUUUUCCCAAUUAGCUUGGCGAAGAUUUUGUUCACUAACCUUUGAUAUGUUGCUCCAGCAUUCUUCAGACCGAAGGGCAUGACCCUAUAGCAGUAGAUGGCUGAAUCUGCCAUGAACGAGGUCUUCUCUUGAUCUUCUUCUGCCAUAAGAAUUUGGUGAUACCCCGAGAAAGCCUCCAAGAAGCUGUACAGCAUAUGACCUGACGUGCUAUCUACGAGAUUAUCAAUUCUGGGCAGGGGAUAACUGUCUUUGGGGCAUGCUUUAUUCAAAUCUGUGAAGUCAAUGCAAACUCGCCACUUUCCAUUAGCUUUC
rnacentral:lncRNA from 1 species